rnacentral:siRNA from 1 species
CGAGGUUUGGUUCUAUGAGACCGA